CCCAUCCCCGCCCCGCCUCCGGCCCCGCCCAGUGCCGACGCCCGCACCCGGUGGAGGAGUGCCGUGCGCUGCUGGGAGUUUGGGAGAUCCAGCGGUGAAGGCGGGAGUGGAGCCCCGCGUGGAUACCCAGCAUGGACGACUACACAGUCCUGCGAGUGAUUGGCCAAGGCUCCUUCGGCCGGGCCCUCUUGGUUCGGCAGGAAAGCAGCGGUCAGAAGUUUGCCAUGAAGGAAGUAAGACUUCUCAAGUCUUUCUCUGAGAGUCAGAAUUCUAGGAAAGAGGCUGUUCUGCUGGCGAAAAUGAAGCACCCCAAUAUUGUUGCCUUUAAAGAGGCAUUUGAAGCUGAAGGGCACCUGUACAUCGUGAUGGAGUAUUGUGAUGGCGGGGAUCUAAUGCAGAAGAUUAAACAGCAAAAAGGAAAGUUACUUCCUGAAGAUACGAUACUUAACUGGUUUAUACAAAUUUGUCUCGGAGUAAAUCACAUUCACAAGAAACGUGUGUUACACAGAGAUAUCAAGUCCAAAAAUGUCUUCCUCACCCAAAGUGGAAAAGUGAAACUGGGGGAUUUUGGCUCUGCCCGUCUUCUCUCCAGUCCCAUGGCCUUUGCCUGUACAUACGUGGGAACACCUUAUUAUGUGCCGCCAGAAAUUUGGGAAAACCUGCCUUAUAACAAUAAGAGUGACAUCUGGUCCUUGGGAUGCAUUCUGUAUGAACUCUGCGCUCUGAAGCAUCCAUUCCAGGCACAUAGUUGGAAAAACCUUAUCCUGAAAAUAUGUCAAGGUCCCAUCCACCCACUGCCAGCCCCGUAUUCCUCUAAGCUUCAGUGUCUCGUCAAGCAGAUGUUGAAAAGGAACCCUUCCCAGCGUCCCUCCGCUACCACCCUGCUUGCCAGAGGCAGUUUGGCUCCACUGGUCCUGAAGUGCUUACCCCCCGAGAUCAUCAGAGAAUAUGGAGAGCAGAUACUGGAUGAAACCAAAAUAUCUGAGCCCAAGAAACUGAAAAAAAGGGCAGACCCCAGCGGAGUCAGGAUAGCUCCGGGAGAUGAAGCAAACGCCAUGCGAGAGGAAGAGCACGAUAGAAAGUGUAGCCGUGCUGAAUUGGAAAGCACUCAUACAAAAUCAGUUGGAAGCUCACCGAGGAGAGUAGCCGGAGGAAAUCCGGAAUCAGGUAGUCCAUCAGAGCAGCAGAGGAGGACCAUUCCAGCAAGCCCUCACAGGCAGCAGUGGGAGAGACAUGCUCCCAGUUCAGCUCUAGCAGCAUUGGAAGAAGCACCCAUCCUUACCUCCAGUUUCACGGCCGAGGAGGACAGAGGUGGUUCUGUAAUAAAGUACAGUGAAAGUCAUGCCCGUAAGCAGUGGCUCAGAGAGCCCCCUGAGACCUUGUUGUCAAUGCUGAAGGAUGCUGAUCUCAGCCUGGCAUUUCAAACAUACACAAUAUAUAGACCAGGUACAGAAGGAUUCUUGAAAGGUCCCCUUUCUGAAGAAACAACAUCAGACAGUGUCGAUGGUGAUUUUGAGUCUGUCAUUUUGGAUCCAGAGAGAUUUGAACCGCGGCUGGAUGAAGAAGACACGGACUUUGAGGAAGAUGGUGAAAACCCUGAUUGGGUGUCAGAGCUCCAGAAGCAAGUGGGAUGGCAGGACGUGUAUGAUGGGAAACUCCUCGGAGAACGUGCCUGAGCCUGUGGGGAGAUGCUGAUGACUGGAAAGGAAAUGAAGACAGGAAAUGUACCACAAGCUUAAAAAACAACCCAGAGCCCUUGUCAGAAGAUCAGCCAUGAGAUGAAUGGGUAUGCUCUAGAGCUUCCCAGAAGAUUGUCAUCCUGGACCUGAGGCAGGACUACAGCCAAAGAGAUGUGACGAAUGUCAGAAGUUAGCACGUGUUAUGGAAUGAUGUGGGGCACCAUGCACAUCCAUGCUGGAUCCUGGACCCCAUCAUGUAUUACCUCAUUUAAUGCUGUGACACUUUAGAGAAGGGAGAAUCUUUCCCCAGUGAGGAAACUGGCUUCUUCUGACCCCGUAUGAUGAAGAGUGGGUAGAAAUUAUAGUCCAGUCAUUCACCAGGAUCUGCUGAAAUAUGGACUAUGCGUAGCUUUUAACAACUUAACUCCUCCCUUUUUUUCAGUGCUGGGGAUCAAACCCAGGACCUUAUGAAUGCAAGGCAAGUAAUCUGCCACAGCCGCACCACAGCCCAGCUUCUGUCUAUCUUAACAUGCAAAGGCUGUGCAAAUCCCCACCUGACCUGUGUAUCUCCCUGUGCUCAGUCUUGUGGUCAGUGUGAGCUUCCUUUUGUCUCUGGCAAUUUCCCUGUCUUCCCUUGCCAUUUUUGGGGAGUGCUGGUUAGGUAUUUUGUUUUCAUCCUCAAUUUGGGUGUGUCUGGUGUUCUUCACAAAGGUAAGCCCCGUCCUCAUCGUACAUGAUGUCAGCAUGGUGUGCCACAGAUGCUGCUUGCUGAGAUCAGUAGUUAACUCAGUAUCUGCUGGGCUUCUCAUCACAGGUACUAACUUCCUGUCCCUGUUCUGGUCACUGUCACUAACGGCCCCACUGAUGCUGAGAGGACUCAUGGUCUACCUCUGUUAGAGCAAAGAGUGUAAUGUUACACUAAGUCGCUGGUUAGGUUGCUUAAUUGUGUCCAGUUGGUUUCUGUGCACUUUGUGAUGUUCUUGUCCUUUUAAAUUACUACAUUUUAAAAUUACUAGAUUAAAUUAGAUAAAGUAGGA